GACGAACGCUGGCGGCGUGCUUAACACAUGCAAGUCGAACGGAAAGGCGCUGCGCUUGCGGGGUGCUCGAGUGGCGAACGGGUGAGUAAAACGUGAGUAACCUGCCCUUGACAGUGGGAUAACUUCAGGAAAAUGGGGCUAAUACCGGAGAGGAUCUCCUGCAGCACGGGGGGGGUUGGAAAGUUUCGGCGGUGGUGGAUGGACUAGCGGCUUAUCAGCCUGUUGGGGGGGUAGUGGCUGACCAAGGCUUUGACGGGUAGCCGGCCUGGGAGGGUGACCGGCCACCUUGGUACUGAGAUACGGCCCAGACUGCUACGGGAGGCAGCAGUGGGAAAUAUUGCACAAUGGGCGGAAGCCUGAUGCAGCAGCGCCGCGUGCGGGAUGACGGCCUUCGGGUUGUAAACCGCUUUCGCCUGUGACGAAGCGUGAGUGACGGUAAUGGGUAAGGAAGCACCGGCUAACUACGUG
rnacentral:rRNA from 1 species